CGCGCAUGGGACGCGUUUGUCCCGGGCACUGUCCCGGGUGUUCCCGAACUCUCUGGACACAACGCUGUUCCCUGUGCUCUGGGAUGACCCUGCCUGAAGAGGGGCGUGGGACCAGAUGCCCCCCUGUGUUCCCUUCCAACCUGUUAUACCCGCUCGGGCUGGGAAGGUGACAACCAGCAAGUGUAGAAAAUGUGGGGGAAAGAGUAUGAAAAACAGCCCCAGUGCCCUCAGCACCCCAGAACAGCAGCAUUAGUAAGGAACUCAACUCUUACAAUCUGAGAAAUUGUCAGAGACUAUGCCAUAUUUUCUUUAAAUUUCACAAGAACAAGCACUGAAUGACAGUACUGGGGUUGUCUUCUUAAAAAUCUGAAUUUGUAACAUUUGGAGGAAAAAUUACUUGCUGUUCUGCAACAAUUAAUUCCAGAAAAGUAACCUAAUGUUAUUUUAGCAUGACUUCAACACUCGAAAGCUCACUGUGAUGCACAUGUGUGUGGAGGAAAUACUUCCAUUUGAAUAAAA